GACGAACCGUGCGAACGUUGUUCGGAAUCACUGGGCUUAAAGGGCGCGUAGGCGGGCAGACAAGUCAGGGGUGAAAUCUUUCGGCUUAACCGGAAAACAGCUUCUGAUACUGUCUGUCUCGAGGGAGGUAGGGGCAUGUGGAACUUCCGGUGGAGCGGUGAAAUGCGUUGAUAUCGGAAGGAACUCCGGUGGCGAAAGCGACGUGCUGGACCUCUUCUGACGCUGAGGCGCGAAAGCUAGGGGAGCAAACGGG
rnacentral:rRNA from 1 species